ensembl:snRNA U6 U6 spliceosomal RNA
GUGCUCACUUCGGCAGCAAGUAUACUAAAACUGGAAUGAUACAGAGAUUACAUGGCCCCUGUACAAGGAUGACAUGCAAAUUUGUGAAGCGUUUCAUUAAAAA